CAGCCGCCACGGUAAUAUGGAGGGGGCUAGCGUUGUUCGGAAUUACUGGGCGUAAAGCGCACGUAGGUGGCUUGGUAAGUUAGAGGUGAAAGCCUGGAGCUCAACUCCAGAAUUGCCUUUAAGACUGCCGAGCUAGCAGGUGAGAGAGGUAAGUGGAAUUCCGAGUGUAGAGGUGAAAUUCGUAGAUAUUCGGAAGAACACCAGUGGCGAAGGCGGCUUACUGGCUCAUACUGGACGCUGAGGUGCGAAAGCGUGGGGAGCAAACAGGAUUAGAUACCCGCGUAGUCCCUGUCUCUAUACA
rnacentral:rRNA from 1 species